AAAGCUUGUUAAAGUAUGCAUAUCUGACCUGGUGGAAAAGCAUGGAUUUUAUCCAACAAGUACUGAAAAAGUGGCUCUAGCAAAGAACAUCAUCACUGUGUUCCCGUCCCUGAGAGUCCAGGUAGAUGGAAAAGGGGAAGGAUUUGCAAGUACAUGCUUUGGUUCCCAGUUGUAGAUCAUACAGAAUCAUUAA